AUUGAACGCUGGCGGCAGGCUUAACACAUGCAAGUCGAGCGGAGAUGAGGUGCUUGCACCUUAUCUUAGCGGCGGACGGGUGAGUAAUGCUUAGGAAUCUGCCUAUUAGUGGGGGACAACAUUCCGAAAGGAAUGCUAAUACCGCAUACGUCCUACGGGAGAAAGCAGGGGACCCUCGGGCCUUGCGCUAAUAGACGAGCCUAAGUCGGAUUAGCUAGUUGGUGGGGUAAAGGCCUACCAAGGCGACGAUCUGUAGCGGGUCUGAGAGGAUGAUCCGCCACACUGGGACUGAGACACGGCCCAGACUCCUACGGGAGGCAGCAGUGGGGAAUAUUGGACAAUGGGGGGAACCCUGAUCCAGCCAUGCCGCGUGUGUGAAGUAGGCCUUAUGGUUGUAAAGCACUUUAAGCGAGGAGGAGGCUACUGAGACUAAUACUCUUGGAUAGUGGACGUUACUCGCAGAAUAAGCACCGGCUAACUCUGUGCCAGCAGCCGCGGUAAAAC
rnacentral:rRNA from 1 species